CCUACGGGAGGCAGCAGUGGGGAAUAUUGGGCAAUGGGCGCAAGCCUGACCCAGCAACGCCGCGUGAAGGAAGAAGGCUUUCGGGUUGUAAACUUCUUUUCUCAGGGACGAAGCAAGUGACGGUACCUGAGGAAUAAGCCACGGCUAACUACGUGCCAGCAGCCGCGGUAAUACGUAGGUGGCAAGCGUUAUCCGGAUUUACUGGGUGUAAAGGGCGUGUAGGCGGGACUGCAAGUCAGAUGUGAAAACCACUGGCUCACCCUGUGGCCUGCAUGUGAAACUGUAGUUCUUGAGUACUGGAGAGGCAGACGGAAGUCCGGGUGGAGCGGUGAAAUGCGUAGAUAGUAGGAGGAACACCAGUGGCGAAGGCGGUCUGCUGGACAGCAACUGACGCUGAGGCGCGAAAGCGUGGGGAGCAAACAGGAUUAGAUACCCGAGUAGUC
rnacentral:rRNA from 1 species